UGUUUACGGGUCUGUGGUUGCAAGUCGAGGCCAGUCGCAGGCAAAACGACCCACGUAAGAAAACAAAAAUGUUUUUGAGCAUGGUGCGGCUUAGAAGUAAGACCUGCCGGUAAAACCGAGAGGACGAAUAGUGACGAGAGGAGCGAAAGUUCCAGCAGGCGAGUGUGGGGGCAAAGACCAGGUCAGCCGAUAAACA
rfam:Clostridiales bacterium S5-A11 contig016, whole genome shotgun sequence.